rnacentral:rRNA from 1 species
AGAUUGAACGCUGGCGGCAUGCCUUACACAUGCAAGUCGAACGGCAGCACGGGGGGCAACCCUGGUGGCGAGUGGCGAACGGGUGAGUAAUACAUCGGAACGUAUCCUGUAGCGGGGGAUAACCUCUCGAAAGAGAGGCUAAUACCGCAUACGACCUACGGGUGAAAGAGGGGGAUCGCAAGACCUCUCACUAUUGGAGCGGCCGAUGUCGGAUUAGCUAGUUGGUAGGGUAAAAGCCUACCAAGGCUACGAUCCGUAGCUGGUCUGAGAGGACGACCAGCCACACUGGAACUGAGACACGGUCCAGACUCCUACGGGAGGCAGCAGUGGGGAAUUUGGACAAUGGGCGCAAGCCUGAUCCGAGCCAUGCCGCGUGAGUGAAGAAGGCCUUCGGGUUGUAAAGCUCUUUCGGUCGGAAGGAAAGGUCGCGUCUAACGACCGCGGACUCACGUGACGGUACCGGACAGUAAGAAGACACCGGCUAACGUACGUGCCAGCAGCCGCGUAACUC